AUUAAGGGAGUAUUUUUUAUAAGAUUUUGAUCUCACAUAUUUUUGUAAGUCAUUAUUCCUAUGAUGGGUUACAAAAAUAUGUGAUUUUUUUGUUUUAGGAAAAUAUAAUAAUAUAAUUUAGGAGGUAUCUUUCAUGAAUAAAGGUACAGUAAAAUGGUUUAACUCACAGAAGGGCUUUGGCUUCAUCACUAACGAAGAGGACGGACAGGACAUAUUCGUUCACUUUUCCGGAAUCUCAUCCAAUGGCUUUAAGUCAUUAGAGGAUGGACAGCAGGUUACUUUUGACAUCACAAACAGCGCCAGAGGUUUACAGGCUGUCAAUGUCUGCGCUGCAUAAUCAAGCCUUGUGUUAACAAUAGUUAACCGGACCGCCUCCCUUGCGGGGCGGUCU
rnacentral:sRNA from 1 species